AACAGGAUUAGAUACCCUGGUAGUCCACGCCGUAAACGAUGAAUGCUAGCUGUUGGCCUGCUUGCAUGUUUUCGGCGCCGCUUAUAACUUAAUCAUUUCCCCUGGGGAGGAGUACCGCCAAAUUGCUAAUCAUCAGAGUUAUUGACGGCCGCCCGCGCAGCGGAGCAUGUGGUUUAAUUAUUAGCUGCGCCCAGAACCUUACCAUCCCUUGUGAUGGUGUGUUACCUCGAGAGAUCGAUGAUGCUCCUCCUUUGCGUGCUCUCACCUGCUGGCUGGCUGUUGUCAGCUCCUGUCGUGAGAUGAUGGUUGGAUUAGUCCCCCGACCGCAACCCACCUCCUUCUUUGCUGUCAUUCCUUUGUGCAGUCUAGGGAGACUGCCGGGGUCAACUCGGGAGAAGGGGGUGGAGAAGUCCAAGUCUCCUUGCCCCCAUGUCGAUGGGCUACACGCAUGUUCCAAAGGCGGUGCCACAGGGAGACGAUGCUGGGGGAGGGGGAAAAUCCCCAAAAACCGUUUCAGUUCGGAUUGCGCUCUGCAACUCGGGCGCACGAAGUCGGAGUCGCUAGUAAUCGAGGAUCAGCACGCCACGGGGGAAAAGUUUCACGGCCCUUUUCCCCCCCACCCCCCCAGCCCGGAUAGUUGGAUUCUCUUGAAGGCGUUGCGCUAACUAGCCAGGGAGGCAGGCGUCCACGGUGGGUUCAGCGAUUGGGGUGAAGU
rnacentral:rRNA from 1 species